GACGAACGCUGGCGGCGUGCUUAACACAUGCAAGUCGAACGGAAAGGCCCUUCGGGGUACUCGAGUGGCGAACGGGUGAGUAACACGUGGGUGAUCUGCCCUGCACUUUGGGAUAAGCCUGGGAAACUGGGUCUAAUACCGAAUAGGACCACGCGCUUCAUGGUGUGUGGUGGAAAGCUUUUGCGGUGUGGGAUGGGCCCGCGGCCUAUCAGCUUGUUGGUGGGGUAAUGGCCUACCAAGGCGACGACGGGUAGCCGGCCUGAGAGGGUGACCGGCCACACUGGGACUGAGAUACGGCCCAGACUCCUACGGGAGGCAGCAGUGGGGAAUAUUGCACAAUGGGCGCAAGCCUGAUGCAGCGACGCCGCGUGAGGGAUGACGGCCUUCGUGUUGUAAACCUCUUUCAAUAGGGACGAAGCGCAAGUGACGGUACCUAUAGAAGAAGCACCGGCCAACUACGUG
rnacentral:rRNA from 1 species